UUUAGCCGGCAGCAAGCUCUCUGCAACUCUCACAUGGUCGCCCACUGAAGCAAAGCAGGGCUGCGCCUGGUCAAUACCUGGAUGGGAGAUCACAUGGGAAAGUUAAGCCUGGUUUAUA
rnacentral:rRNA from 1 species